AUGGCAACCCGCCCCUCGACAUCACCUGCCCCCGGGGAUCCUCCCAUCCCCCCGGGUCAGCCCCAGUGCCUCGGACCUGAGUCCUGUGAUGCCAGCAGCCUGCGUGGAAGGUCUGCGUGCUGGGGGCCCCGUCAUCAGCGCCCUGGCAGGGAGGACCCCCAGCCCAGCUCUGAUUCAGGUGCUGGUGGCAGAGGUGGCCGGGGCAGGGCCAGGGCGGCAGGCAUGGGCAUCAGCCUUCCCCAGGGGUGCGGGAGGAAGGAGGGGUGCCCCACAGGCCCGGCACUUCGGACCUCACCCUUGGACCCCUGCCAGGGUGCGCACAGACCCAGCCCACGUGGAAGCCAAGGCAGGAGGCAGGUGCCACCAACACCUGGGCAUGACCUGGACUCCGCACGGGGAGGGGACGCAGGGGGCCAGGCGGGGGAGGGAGGGGUUAGACAGGCCGCGGGGGCGGUGGGACCCUUGUCAGGCUCCAGAAGGGCGGGAGGGGCUGUGGGAGGCCGUCCUGCGCCCAGAGCCUUGCCCACGCCUGGAGGGGGCACUGGGUCAGCCUGGGCGGUGGGGUAUAUGGAGCCUCCUGGACACGCACCCCGUAGGCUGCAGAGGCUGGGGGUGCCACCCAAGCACCCUGACACCAGGUCAGCCGCCUUCCUGGCACCCUCCUGGCCUAGGGUCUCCACCGGGGCUGGCAGGGGCCGGGGGCCGCCCCGCCCUGCCCCAGCCACUUGGGCUGCAGACGCCCCGCUCGGCCAGCACACGCGGCCGCAGCCCCCUUGCGUGCCCUCCAGCUGGCAGAAGGCCUCCUCCUGGGGCCCCGGGGCAGCAACAGAGCAGGCUGACCGGGUGACGGCGGGGAGCCGGGCUUCUCCGGGGGAGGCUCGCCCACCCGCCAGCGCUGGUCUGGACGGCCUGGCUUGCCCGGUCCUGCCCUGGCCUCGGUGGGGUGUCCUUGGGGACCUAGGGGCCCGAGGCCCAAUCACAGGGUGCUGCUCAGCUCCAGGAGCCCUCACCCCAUCCCGCGAGAGCCGGCCGUGA
rnacentral:lncRNA from 1 species